UGGGGAAUUUUGGACAAUGGACGCAAGUCUGAUCCAGCCAUUCCGCGUGCAGGAUGAAGGCCCUCGGGUUGUAAACUGCUUUUGUACGGAACGAAAAGGCUUUCCCUAAUACGGAGAGCUCAUGACGGUACCGUAAGAAUAAGCACCGGCUAACUACGUGCCAGCAGCCGCGGUAAUACGUAGGGUGCAAGCGUUAAUCGGAAUAACUGGGCGUAAAGCGUGCGCAGGCGGUUAUGUAAGACAGGUGUGAAAUCCCCGGGCUUAACCUGGGAACUGCAUUUGUGACUGCAUAGCUAGAGUACGGUAGAGGGGGAUGGAAUUCCGCGUGUAGCAGUGAAAUGCGUAGAUAUGCGGAGGAACACCGAUGGCGAAGGCAAUCCCCUGGACCUGUACUGACGCUCAUGCACGAAAGCGUGGGGAGCAAACAGGAUUAGAUACCCUGGUAGUCCACGCCCUAAACGAUGUCAACUGGUUGUUGGGUCUUCACUGACUCAGUAACGAAGCUAACGCGUGAAGUUGACCGCCUGGGGAGUACGGCCGCAAGGUUGA
rnacentral:rRNA from 1 species